GACGAACGCUGGCGGCGCGCUUAACACAUGCAAGUCGUGCGGUACCGAUGGCAAGUCUUCAUGACGAGCCUUCGGUAUAGCGGCGGACGGGUGAGUAACACGUGAGUAGCUGUCCUAGGGAGGGGGAUAACGCCUGGAAACGGGUGCUAAAACCCCAUAAGCCUCGCAAGAGGUGAAAGUGUACUUGUUACAGCCUUAGGGUGUGCUCGCGGCCUAUCAGCUAGUUGGUGAGGUAAGGGCUCACCAAGGCUAAGACGGGUAGCCGGCCUGAGAGGGUGUACGGCCACACUGGAAUUGAGAUACGGUCCAGACUCCUACGGGAGGCAGCAGUGGGGAAUUUUGGGCAAUGGGCGAAAGCCUGACCCAGCGACGCCGCGUUGGGGAUGAAGUCCUUCGGGCGUAACCCGACUGUUGUAGGGGAAGGAAGAAAGUAGACGGUACCCGUACGACGAAAGACCCGGCCGAACCUAACGUGCCAGCAGCCGCCGGUAAUGAGUAGUACA
rnacentral:rRNA from 1 species